GCAGCCAAGGCGGGGGCGGGGCGAAGUCUCGGGGCUGGAGAGGAGAGGUCCGCACUAGGUGGCCCGCCUGUGGCUGGCUACUGAAGAAGGACGUAGGGCAGGAAUCACCUCCUGGCAGCGGAUGUUGGAAGACUGGGCAAGGAAACAUGGUUUGGGGGCCAGACUCUGAAGCAAAGGUAGCGGGAGGCAUAGUUCUUAGUCAAUGACAGCAGUAGCCAGCCAAGGAUAUGAGGAACAGGUGCGUGCCUGCAAACUGACUUCCAGCAGUGGAUGAACGUCUGAGAGAGAAGUAGCAGCUUUAAUCUGCCUGGGGCAGCCUGUGGUGGAGAUGACUCUGUAGCCCUGGUGUCUACCUAUCAGUAUCUGGAGUGGAAGGCACAAGAGCCGGGUAGACAGGCACCUAGCACUGUGCCAGCUCUGUGGGGGUUGGCUGGUUCUGGGGACAAGCUGUUGGCAGUGCAGGUGGCUGGUGUCAAGGAUGGAGUGUGAGGCCUCGCGACAGGAUGGCCGGCAGUGCAGAAGCCUUCAGCGCUCAGCAGAGCUGCGGUCCUGGCUGCUCUGAGGUCUGGACUACUUGGCUUGAGACCUGAAGAGACCCCAGGGCAGAAGCCAUUUCCUGCCCACCCCACAUGAUGGUGACUCCAGCUUCCCAUCGGAUCUGGAGAUGAUCUGCCUCGGUUUCAAAAGCAAGUCAAAAGGGAAUUUCACUCUGCACAAACAGUCCUUCUGGUGGCUAUUUUGGUCAGUCUGGCUGGGCCAGAAGCCAGUAAAGCGGUCUCUAAGGCCAGGCUUUCCCUGUCGCCUAGCCUGGAAGAAUUCAGAGCUGGAGAGGGAAAAGCGAGCCUCGGCUGGUUUUAAAGAACAGAACCGGACUCCAGGGAAACUGGUGAAUGAAUCAGCCGGGAUGGAGGGCGGAGGGAGCAAGCUGGCCUGGGGCAGACUCCAAACUGUCCUGAAAACUGAACACCCAGCAAUCACACCCAGGAAGAUGACGUACACGCUUUUCAUUGCAAAACUCUCAACAGAGGCUGCUAAUGCCACAGGCAAAAGGAAAGAACAGAUAUCCUCUCCAUCCCAGGCCUGGCCCCACCACUCAGCCAUGACCCAGGACUUAUCAAGAAGUUAUCCUUCCUUUCUGACCUGAUUCCUAACCUCUCAGUCACCAAGUCGACUCCUUCCUCCUAUGGGUCAACUUUUUUUUUUUUU